rnacentral:rRNA from 1 species
UGGGGAAUAUUGGGCAAUGGGCGAAAGCCUGACCCAGCGACGCCGCGUGGGCGAUGAAGGCCUUCGGGUUGUAAAGCCCUGUCAUGCGGAAAGAACGACCCUGUGACGCAUACUCACAGGGAGUGACGGUACCGCAGGAGGAAGCACCGGCUAACUCCGUGCCAGCAGCCGCGGUAAUAUGGAGGGUGCAAGCGUUGUUCGGAAUUAUUGGGCGUAAAGGGCGCGUAGGCGGUAAUGCAAGUCAGAUGUGAAAUACUCCGGCGCAACUGGGGAACUGCAUCUGAAACUGCAUAACUAGAGUACAGAAGAGGGAAACGGAAUUCCCGGUGUAGAGGUGAAAUUCGUAGAUAUCGGGAGGAACACCAGUGGCGAAGGCGGUUUCCUGGUCUGAUACUGACGCUGAGGCACGAAAGUGUGGGGAGCAAACA